AAGAAGGUGGUAGAUUGGUAAUACGGCUGACUUGAAAUCGGUUUAAGGGGGUUCGAUUCCUUCCCUUCUUG
rnacentral:tRNA from 1 species